CAUUCCAAGAAUAACCAGCUAUGAGGGGUCUUCACUGUGGAGGAUGAAGCACCUGAGUGAGAAUAUCAGUAAAUGUGUCCAAGGUUAUACGACAGAGAUGAUGCACACCGAAUGAUGCACACAGUACUGGAAGUGGGAGUCAAAUCCAAGUUAUCUUGGGAAGCAGCUCGGAGCCCAGAGGACCUCUCCACUAUGAUGCUGCCAAAGUUUUUCACUCAUUCAUUCACUGAAUAUUUGUGGGGUCCCUAUUAUGUGGCAGUCAGCUAUGUGGGAUAGGGACACAGCCAUAAAUAAAGCAAAAGGUCUUGCCUCUGCAGAAAUUACUACCUUAAUAUGGAGAAGAGAGAAAAAUGAAUCAAGAAAUAAACCUAUAUCCAUAUGGUACCAGAGUGAUAAGUGCUAUAGAUGAAUAUAUGUAGAGUAUGGUGAUAGAGGGGUGGAAGGUGCCAUUCUGAUUGGAAGGUUAACAAUGCCAUCUCUGAGGUGGUGACAUUUAAGCAAAGAUCUGAAGGAAGGACUGAAGCCAAGCAAAAUCCUAUCUGAAAGAAGAGUGUGGCAGGAAAAGGGAAAGUGAGUUCAAAGGUCCUAGGAUGGUAACAGGCUUGGGGGUGUGUUUGACUUGGCCUCAGAGCCAGAGAUGUCCAACUCCUUGUCCUUGUGCCUUGUUCUUGCUGAUCACUCUCCUCUUGCAGCUCCCUCCUCCUCUCAAGCCUCUGUGCCCAACCCCCAUCGGUCUAGCCAACUCCUGCCUCUACAAUCAAAUUCAAACCUCACUUCUUAUAGCUUGCCCUUACCUCCCUCAUCUAUGUUCCCACAAUGUUCAUAUUUCUAUAACA